rnacentral:rRNA from 1 species
GUAGGCGGAGGACAUAUCAUAAGCGGAGGAGCAUAUCAAUAAGCGGAGGAGCAUAUCAAUAAGCGGAGGAGCAUAUCAAUAAGCGGAGGAGCAUAUCAAUAAGCGGAGGAGCAUAUCAAUAAGCGGAGGACCAUAUCAAUUUUCGGAAGAGGAUCUCUUGGCUCCCACAUCGAUGAAGAACGCAGCGAAAUGCGAUAAGUAAUGUGAAUUGCAGAAUUCAGUGAAUCAUCGAGUCUUUGAACGCACCUUGCGCCCUCUGGUAUUCCGGAGGGCAUGCCUGUUUGAGUGUCAUGAAACUCUCAACCCCUCGGGUUUUACGACCUGUUGGGUUGGAUUUGGGCGUUGCCGCUUUGUUGCCGGCUCGCCUUAAAGGUCUUAGUGGGAUUAGUCGGACCCAUGGCUUGGCGUAAUAAGUUUCGCUGGGCUUGGCCGACGAAAGUCCGCUCACAACCCCCAUACUCUUUCAAUCUGACCUCAAUCAGGUAGGGGCUAUCCGCUGAACUUAAGCAUAUCAAUAAGCGGAGGAUGUUAUUAAUUAAGUGAUGGAGCCAAUGG